rnacentral:rRNA from 1 species
UACGGAGGGUGCAAGCGUUGUCCGGAAUCACUGGGCGUAAAGGGCGCGUAGGCGGCCCGGUAAGUAGGGGGGUGAAAUCCUGCGGCUUAACCGCAGGGCUGCCUUCUAAACUGUCGGGCUCGAGCACGGUAGAGGCAGAUGGAAUUCCCGGUGUAGCGGUGGAAUGCGUAGAGAUCCGGAAGAACACCGGUGGCGAAGGCGGCCUGCUGGGCAGUUGCUGACACUGAGGCGCGACAGCGUGGGGAGCAAACAGG